rnacentral:rRNA from 1 species
UUGCUGGCUUGGAUGACUUUGUCCAGUCUAGCUAAUACCGAAUUGUCGUAUUAGGUUUUACCAACUUCGGCAGACUGUGUGUUGGCUCGGGCGCUUUAAAGACUUUGUCGUAAACGAUUUAUCGUUUGUUUGAGCUUUUCGCAUACGCAAUCCGGCGAACAAUACUCUCAAAGUUUGACCUCAAAUCAGGUAGGAAUACCCGCUGAACUUAAGCAUAUCAAUAAGCGGAGGAAAAGAAACCAACCGGGAUUGCCUUAGUAACGGCGAGUGAAGCGGCAAAAGCUCAAAUUUGAAAUCUGGUACCUUCGGUGCCCGAGUUGUAAUUUGUAGAAGGUAACUUUGGGGCUGGUCCUUGUCUAUGUUCCUUGGAACAGGACGUCAUAGAGGGUGAGAAUCCCGUGUGGCGAGGAUCCCAGUUCUUUGUAAAGUGCUUUCGAAGAGUCGAGUUGUUUGGGAAUGCAGCUCUAAGUGGGUGGUAAAUUCCAUCUAAAGCUAAAUAUUGGCGAGAGACCGAUAGCGAACAAGUACAGUGAUGGAAAGAUGAAAAGAACUUUGAAAAGAGAGUGAAAAAGUACGUGAAAUUGUUGAAAGGGAAGGGCAUUUGAUCAGACAUGGUGUUUUGCGCCCUCUGCUCCUUGUGGGUGGGGGAAUCUCGCAGCUCACUGGGCCAGCAUCAGUUUUGGCGGCAGGAUAAAUCUGCAGGAAUGUAGCUUGCCUCGGUAAGUGUUAUAUCCUGUAGAAAUACUGCCAGCUGGGACUGAGGACUGCGA